UCCCUGCUGGCUCAGUGGUAAAGAAUCUGCCUGCAAUGCAGAUGUGGUUCAAUUCCUGGGUUGGGAA
rnacentral:tRNA from 1 species